GAAGGGACCUUUAAAGACCAUCUGGUCCCAUUCCACGCACUGGACAGGAACACCUGCAGGUGCUCAGAGGCCCCCAGCCAGACUGCAGGGAGAUCCUGGGGAUCCCUAUAGGAGCUGGCAGGAAACACCACACUGGGAAACCCCACCUGGCUGAGGGUCCCCGGGUGGCUGCACUGUUCUCUGAGAAUCACUGUGCUCUCUGCAACCUCUGCCAGCAGUCCUCCCACCACUAUUUAUUGCAGUUUCCAGACCACCUGCAGGCCCCCUGAGCUCUGCGUGAGGGCAGAUUUGCGGCGGCCACGGAUCAAUAUGACCUUCUGUUUUAUGAAUGGGGGAAGGGAAUUUAUUUGGAGGCAGAGCAUCCACAGCACAUCGUGGUUUGGGGCUUCUAGCUGUGAACUUCAGCCUCAGGUAAUGGGGCAAAGCAGCGCCGUGCAGAUAUCCUGCCCACGUGGAGCAGCAUGCAGAAUUUGGCUACGUGUGUUUCUCCACUGCUCCAUCGCUCCCCAUCCCUGUGUCCACUGUCAGAUUUUGUGUCUCAGUUCCUACAGUUACAGAUUCAGGGACUGAAGGAAUAAUGGCUACUGGGACCCCAUCAGGAAAAAAAAAAAAAAGAAGUGCCGUAAGAUUUUUGGCCAUAAGAGGUUUAAGAACUUCCACAGCUGAACGAAUCAGCGUCCCCUAACUGACAGAGGAUAAUGGAUUUAAUAAAUAGCUAUG
ensembl:lncRNA